rnacentral:rRNA from 1 species
UACGUAGGGUGCGAGCGUUGUCCGGAAUUAUUGGGCGUAAUGAGCUUGUAGGCGGUCUGUCGCGUCUGCUGUGAAAAUCCGGGGCUCAACCCCGGACUUGCAGUGGGUACGGGCAGACUAGAGUGUGGUAGGGGAGACUGGAAUUCCUGGUGUAGCGGUGAAAUGCGCAGAUAUCAGGAGGAACACCGGUGGCGAAGGCGGGUCUCUGGGCCGAUACUGACGCUGAGGAGCGAAAGCGUGGGGAGCGAACAGG